CCGGUGCACGGUAGUCGGUGCGCGGGGUCCGGCGCGCGGUGGCCGGUGCGCGGAGCCGGGCGGAGCGGGGCUCGCGGAGGGAGGAGUUUUCCCAGAAGGGGACUGACGGGAAAGCACGGGCGAUCCCUAUUCCUGGCGGGGUGAGUCAACGGGAGAGGAAGGGAGCCGGGGGAACCGAGCGCGCGCAGGAGGGCGGAAGGGAGGGAAGUCGGAGGGGGGGCAAGGCGGGCCCGGAGCGCAGGUCCAAGGCCGGAAGAAGAGAGCGCCAGGGGAGCGGCAGAGGGGCGCGGCGCCGGGGCCACUCACCUGGGGGACGCGGCCGCACGGCGGAGCCGGGAGCUGCGGGCCCUCCCCGCCCCCGGCCUGGGGUUUGAAAGGAGGAAGCCUGGAAUACACUGUGAAAAUAGUGAAGGAGAAGACCUCAGCACCUGCCCUUCCAGAGCUUUCCAUUUAGCUGGGAAAACUCGGUCUGUGGAGGAGCAUCGCCAGAAAGUGGGGAGUCCGGGUCUUAAACACGCCAGGCCACACCGUGUGGCAUGUGGGAUCUUAGUUCCCCCACCGGGGACCGAACGCAUGCCCCCUGCAGUGGAAGCACGGAGUUCUAACCACAGAACGGCUAGGGAAGUCCCAAUCCUGUUUGUUUUUUUUUUAAUUUUUAUUUUAUAUUAGAGUAUAGCUGAUUUACAAUGCUGUGUCCUGCUUUUGAAAAAUAAAUGGAAAAGAAUCUUACAGUGAGUAUCUCUGACAGGUUGAAGAUUAAGGGGCCUUCUUUCUCAUUUUUUAAAAAUUAAUUUUAAAAAAUUAAUUAAAUUUAUUUAUUUUUGGCUGCGUUGGGUCUUUGUUGCUGUGCACAGGCUUUCUCUAGUUGCUGCGAGAGGGGGCUACUAUUCGUUGCGGUACGCGGGCUUCUCAUUGCGGUGGCUUCUCUUGUUGCGGAGCACGGGCUCUAGGCGUCCGGGCUUCAGUAGUUGUGGCACGCGGGCUCAGUAGUUGUGGCUCACGGGCUCUAGAGCACAGGCUCAGUAGCUGUGGCGCACGGGCUUAGUUGCUCCGCGGCAUGUGGGAUCUUCCCGGGCCAGGGCUCGAACCCGUGUCCCCC